rnacentral:misc_RNA from 1 species
GUGAAUCAUCGAAUUUUUGAACGCAAAUUGCACUCUUCUGGGGGAGUAUGCCUGUUUGAGGGUCAGCCUCAUAAAAAUCUACAUCGUUGCUGUUGCGUGGUGACGUUUGUCGGUAAUUGGGUUAUCUUAAAUCUUUUGGUUUAUGCGCCUUUAGAUUUUCGUUUUGAUUGCGUGAACGUUACUAAGAUUUAUUUCUUUACAAGUGUAGGGUAUCUAUUUUUGUUAGACGUGGCCGCCAUAUCGGAUCGCGUGCAUAAUUUUUCGCUAACUGACCUCAGACAGGUAGGAGUACCUGCUGAA